GCCGGGCCGGCGGGCGGAGGGGCCGCGAGGACCUGCGCGGGGCUGCAGCGGGGAUGGCCGCAGGCCACAGGCGCGCCCCCGGCUCUGCUCGCGGCUGUCACCGGGACCCGCGCGUGUCCUGCGGGAUUGGAAUAGGGGAGGGUGGGGAGAAAAGGCGCGACCCAGCAGCUGCCACCCUCGAGAGACCCCAGCUCUGCGCGUGGUCUCCCGCAGAUUUAGUGUCACCUUCCUGCCCUGUCCCCCCCUCCCCCCGUCUGUGUGCGGGUGCUGAGGCGGGUGGGCAGGCGGUUCCCAGGUUGUGGGAUGAGCAGUCCCGUUACCGCCCGCUCUUUGAUACGGGUCGCAGGUCAGUUCCCGAAACUGCUCCGAGAAAAACCCUCACAACUUUUCCUCCUUGUGCAGAACUUUUUCAAUUCGAAAUACUCUGCUUUCCCCUGUGCUACGAACUGCUAGAAGUCUGCAUAUUAAUGUAAAAACUCUCUCCAAGGAGAAGUAGUACAUAAAAGGUUCCUGUGAAAGGGUUUUAAAAUCCCAAAUAUAGUAGGCGUUAAAAACUAUGUAAACAUUUGUUGGGCAUUUGGACACAAUUUUUCUGCAGUUAGGUGACUUUAUAUGGCGUGCUUUUCCUCCCAUGCAAGUCAUUUUAAGCUGAUUUCACAUCAAAAUAAGUUGUGCUCGCUUGCAACUACUAAUACAUUAUUCGAGGAAGAAGCUGGAAAAAAGUUAAAUCAUUACAGUUCAAGAGAUGAAGCUACUUUCCCCCUAAAGUUUGAAAUGACAUAACUUUUUUCCUUACAAUUUUACUCUCAAAUACAUGGUGAAAUGUAAAGCAUAAAAUCUUCAGAGAUACAUGCUGAUGCAAAUGAAACCCUUCUGUAAAACGUAUGGUGUUCGCAGCCCUUGCUCCAAACUUAAACAUUCUUCAUACAUGUUUAGUAUAAUCCACUGGCAGAUUUGUAAAGUAAUUGCUCAUGUAAAUCACCCAGUAACACAUUUCCCCCUUAAGUUCUUUUGUAGGAUUGUCUGAUAAAGCCCUUUAUGAAUAGAAAAGCAAUAAUUCACAUACAAGAGGUGAACUUGUCAUGUUGAAAAUGGAAGGUAAAAUAUAGUUGCACGAUGAGGCACACGCAGUAGGAUCUCUGACACAGGGAAAGGAGAACUGACUGAUUAUGUGUGGGAUUUCCUCUAUACCCUCCUGCAGAAAAUGAGUUCGGAGCAGCAGAGAUGUUUAUAUAUGGAAUGCGAAGGAAAGUAAUAUCAGAAUUUAAAGUUUGUUGCAAAGUCUGCCUCGAUACUUUAGUACCGGGGCCAGGCUCAGUAGCACCUCACUCAUAUGCGCACAGAGAACCUUUCCUGACUUCAUAAAUUUACUUUUUCUGAAGCUGCAAAUGCCAUGGCUGAAUCAGAGUCGAAGAGAUAAAUCGCUUGCAUAACUCUCAAUGAAUGCAGAAUUCUGAAAACUUUAGAAGGAAAGUAUUAAAGAGCACUGGCCACAGAAACCUUUUUAUGAAUAUGACCCUUGUCCCAGAAGAGAGGAGUACAUGAGGUUUAUGAAAGAGUCUACUCAUCAAUCCUUAUCUUUGAUUCCCCUGUCUGGGCUCCACAUACUUGACCGUGGGUCGAUAGCAUUGACCAUCUCAGCUCAGGAAAGGGUCCCAAACGUGUAACAGCAAGGAGUUACAUUAAUAACUACCACUUAACUUAGUCUUGUUCCCUCAGGCCAGCUGCAUGAUUACUGACAGACUUUUUGCACAGUGCUUGUUGGCAUCUAUAUCUGACCUGUGAAUAAACAGAGAACUUCAGUUUCUAGCACUGACAGUCUCUCAUUCCUUG